rnacentral:piRNA from 1 species
UCUUGGUGUCCUCAAAUUGAAAGCCAAG